ACCAGCGAGAAGUGGCCCUCCAGUGUUCUGGCUAAGUGGCCUUUUGCGGCAUCUACACCCAAGCAACGACAUCACCCUUCAGUAACUUCUGGAAAUGCUGGAGAGAGUGGGAGUUUUGUGAGAAUUGGAUCUGGUUCUGGGCUCCAAGGGAAGAAACAGGAAGUAGAGAAAUCGGGGAGAGGAGGGAGAAGUCUGGGCCACUAGUCAAGUGGAAUCCUUUGUAAUCCCGGGUAGGGGCUGGACCUUCACAGUAAGGUGGAAUUGGGCUCUGGGCCAGAUUUAACAGCAUUUUGCGGGGCAGGAGGCCCUUGUUGACAGCGUUAUAGUUAAGUGCCAUAUGAAGUGUUCUCUAUGUGCUUUACUCAACCUCUGCAGUCACGCAGUCACGACAAGGAUGGUGAAGUCCUUUUACAGUCUAAGGCAGGUGGUUCUUAAACUCGGCUGAAUGUCAAUCUCCUGGGGAGCUUUGAAGAACCCCAGUGCCCAGGCUGCACCCCAUACCAGUUUAAUCAGAAUCAUAGGAGUGGAGCCCAGGCAUAGGUAUUUUUCUGAAUUUCCCAGGUGACCCCAAAAUAUAGGCAAGCUUGAGAACCAAUGACCUAAGGCAGGAGUUGACAAACUUAUUCUGAAAAAGGCCAGAUAAUAAAUAUUUUAGGCUUUGCAGGCUAGCUGGUCUCUGGCACAACUGCUUAACUCUGUUGCUGUGGCAUGAAAGCAGACUUAGACAAUAUGUAAAUGAAUGUGACUGUGUUCCAAUAAUACUUUAUUUAUAAAAUUAGGCAGGGGGCCAAAUUUGGCCCACACAUGUAGAUUGCCAGUCUCUGCUCUAAUACUUGGUACUAAAUACAGACAUUAAAGGAAAAGAGGAAUAAAAGCCCUCCGAAGAGGCAGAUGGCAUGAUGGUUAAGAACUGGGUGCUGAGGGCCUGACUUGUAGGCCCAACUCAGCCACAAAUGGCCUGUGUGACUUGGGCAAGUUCCUUAACUUCUCUGUGCCUCCAUUUCCUUAUCAGUAAAAUGAAGAUAACAGAAGUACCUGCUCUACAAAGUUGUUUGAGGAUUAAAUGAGAGUUAAUAAAUAUAAGAAGAUAGGCAGUACCAGCCGGGCACAUAGUAAAAUUCCUAAUAGUAUUGGUUAUUUUUACUUUUUUUGAGAUUAUUUUUAUAAAGGAAGAGGACCUCGUAGCUGUUACCAGGCCCCUCAGAUCUAUGCUCUUUGAAUAGAUGCUGAUUUGGUUUUAAGUGCUAGCAGAUAAACCAACAAGGGAAAUGCCUUUUGGGGAGACAAUUUUUGUUUUCUGAUAAUUAAAGCUAAUUUAAUUACCAAGGAGUAAUUAGCACGCUAAUCUAGGCCUCUCUUUCUUCUCUUAUUCUUACACAAUGAGUGAACUUUGGUAAGAAAAACUCAGAAACAAAGCCAAACCUCCAGCAAGUUGGAGAACUGCAGCACUUCACUCCCCUGUACCCCUCCAGGGAGGCUGGCAGUCCUGGGCCUUCUGUGAAGGUGCCUUUUUGACAGGCUAAAGACACUUCGUGGAAAUGGUUGUGGAUGGAAGACAGGAAGCGUCAUAGUUCACUCAGGCUGCUCUAACAAUUACUGCUCACAGUUCUGGAGGCUGAGAAGUCCUGGAGGAAGGUGCCGGCAGAUUCAGUGUUUGACGCCGAUGCAAAUUACAUGUACCUGGUUUCCCAGGUGCCUCCAGGCCGUGUGCAUGUGACCCAGGCUUCUGCUCCUUAAGGAAGUUUGUGCAGAAGCAGAGACAUCCUGGCAAGUCUACUGAUUAACCUGGUGUGACUUUGGCAGUGUGAGAAAAUUCCACAAAUUCUUUGAAACUCCUCCCUUCAGAUGAGGUCAGACACACUCAGGGUGAUAUGGCUGGAGACUGAAACUCCACCCUUCAAAAGGAUGCCGUGAUUGCACUGCCUACCUGGCUGGUUCAGGAUAACCUUCCUGUAUGGUGGUUGAAGCCUUAAUUCUACAUGCAGCGUUCAUUCCUUGUUGCCAUGCAGCCUGCCGUGUUCACAGGUUCCAGGGACUAGGCUGUGAGCAUCUCCAUGGGGCGAUUCUUCUGCCUGCCACAGAAGUGGGUCCUCCAGCCCCAGCAGAGCUUUCAGAUGACUGCAGCACCCACCAACAUCCGACUGCAGGCCUCAUGAGAAACUCUGAGCCAGACCACCUAAUUCCUGACCCACAGACACUGUGAGAUAAUACAUGUUGCUAUUUUAAGCCACUAAGUUUUGGAGCAAUUUGUUAUGCAGUAAUAGAUACCAAAUGCAGGCAGGUUAAUUAACCUUUUUCAGCCUCUUUCAUUUAUAAAAUGAAGGUGGUUUCUACCUUCCAGAACUGUUGUAAUGACUGAGUAGGUCAACUCUUGGAAAACACCUGGCAUAUAGCAGAUGCUUCAUAAAUACCAGAUUUUUUUUUCUUAGUCUUCCUGUUUUCCAAAGGACAGCCGCCAGCAGUGGCAGAUACUAAGGGAUGGAGUUAAACUCCCCACUCAACCUCCAGUAGUGAGUUUGUCAUGCAAAUUCAGCAUCAAGACAAGGGUCCAAGCCCAACUUCUAACCAGAGUGCCUCCCCAAACCUCUCCUACACAGAGAUUCCAAUUAGUGUUGCCCUUGAGGUGCUUCCCGGAAUCUUUAAGCUCCAGGGCACAACUAUUAAAAUCUACUGAGAGACUCCACUUAGAAUAUUCACUUUCCAAAUGAUGAGGUGUGUCAUGAGCAGCACUUGUGCGUAACUCCCACAGGUGGGAUGUGGGCGUUUUAAUAGGUGAAGGAGAAGUGGAGAAGAAAUGUCUGCUUUGGCACUUUGUUGUGUAAGAGUUGUCAUCAGUAACUCGUGAAACGCAGC